rnacentral:rRNA from 1 species
CAAAUGCUAAUACCGUAUAAUAAUUAAAACCGCAUGGUUUACGUUUAAAAGAUGGUCUUGCUAUCACUAAGAGAUGGUCCCGCGGUGUAUUAGUUAGUUGGUGAGGUAAUGGCUCACCAAGACAAUGAUACAUAGCCGAGUUGAGAGACUGACCGGCCACAAUGGGACUGAGACACGGCCCAUACUCCUACGGAGGCAGCAGUAGGGAAUCUUCCACAAUGGACGAAAGUCUGAUGGAGCAACGCCGCGUGUGUGAUGAAGGGUUUCGGCUCGUAAAACACUGUUGUAAGAGAAGAAUGACAUUGAGAGUAACUGUUCAAUGUGUGACGGAAUCUUACCAGAAAGGAACGGCUAAAUACGUG